AGUGAACGCUGGCGGCGUGCCUAAUACAUGCAAGUCGAACGGAGUGGCGCACGGGUGCGUAAUCUAUCGCUACUCUUCCCCUUGCUGGAGUACAACAGUUAGAAAUGACUGCUACUACUCCAUAGCAAGGGAUGCGACUAUAUCGUAUCAGCUAGUCGGCGGGGUAACGGCCUACUGAGGCUAUGACGCGUAACUGGUCUGAGAGGAUGAUCAGUCACAUUUGAACUGAGACACGGUCCAAACUCCUACGGGAGGCAGCAGUAGGGAAUAUUGCGCAAGGGGGGAAACCCUGACGCAGCAACGCCGCGUGGAGGAUGACACUUUUCGGAGCGUAAACUCCUUUUGUUAGGGAAGCGGUACCUAACGAAUAAGCACCGGCUAACUCCGUGCCAGCAGCCGCGGUAAUUC
rnacentral:rRNA from 1 species